rnacentral:rRNA from 1 species
CUGCUCAAUGCAUUGUAAAUAGCCGCAGUAUUCUGACUGUGCUAAGGUAGCAUAAUCAUUAGUCUCUUGAUUGGAGGCUGGUAUGAAUGGUGAGAUGAGAAAAAAUCUGUCUCUAAGGUAAUUAUUGAAUUUCAUUUUUAAGUGAAAAAGCUUAAAUGUAUUUGGGGGACGAUCAGACCCUUUGGAGCUUUAUUUUUAUAAGAGUUUCUAGUUAUUGUCAUAACAAUACUCUUCUAUGAAUUCUGUUGGGGCGACAAAAAGUUUAAAAGUAUCACUUUUUUUACUAAACAUUAAUGUAUGGAUCAUUGAUCCCUGAGGAGGGAUUAAAAGACUAAGUUACCCUAGGGAUAACAGCGUAAUCUUCUUGGAGAGUUCAUAUCGAUAAGAAGGUUUGCGACCUCGAUGUUGGAUUAAGAAAUUAGCAAGGUGCAGAAGUUUUGCUGGAGAGUCUGUUCGACUCU